UACAGAGGGUGCGAGCGUUAAUCGGAAUUACUGGGCGUAAAGCGUGCGUAGACGGUAGCGUAAGUCAGAUGUGAAAGCCCCGGGCUCAACCUGGGAAUUGCAUUUGAGACUGCUCUGCUCGGGUGCGGAAGAGGGAAGCGGAAUUUCCGGUGUAGCGGUGAAAUGCGUAGAUAUCGGAAGGAACACCAGUGGCGAAAAGCGGCUUCCUGGUCCGACACCCGACGUUCAGGCACGAAAGCGUGGGGAGCAAACAGG
rnacentral:rRNA from 1 species